rnacentral:rRNA from 1 species
UACGUAGGGGGCGAGCGUUGUCCGGAGUUACUGGGCGUAAAGGGCGCGCAGGCGGUGCGGCGCGUUUCGCGUGACAGCGGAGGGCUUAACUCUCCGAGGAUGCGAAAGACGGCGGCACUUGAGGGCCAGAGAGGGACACGGAAUUCCGGGUGGAGUGGUGAAAUGCGUAGAGAUCCGGAGGAACACCGAAGGCGAAGGCAGUGUCCUGGCUGGUGACUGACGCUGAGGUGCGAAAGCUAGGGGAGCGAACGGG